GCCUGGCCAGGAGGAGGAGUCCAGCUCUUCCUGUCCCACUGGCCCUUCCCUCUUGGACCUCAUCUUAAGCAGACUCUGCAUUCAUGGAUCAGCUGACACCACCCAGACCGGUUAUCUGGCUCAACCAGUUCUGCCAUCCCACCCAGGAAUAGAAGAUAGCAAGAAAAAUUCACUUCAACCUUCUACGAUUCCAUCUCCAACCUGACCAAUCAGCACUCCCCACUUCCCAAGCUCCUUUACUAGCCAAAUUCUCUUUAAAAAC
rnacentral:lncRNA from 1 species